rnacentral:rRNA from 1 species
AUUGAACGCUGGCGGCAGGCCUAACACAUGCAAGUCGAGCGGCGCGGCGGACGGGUGAGUAAUGACUAGGAGUCUGCCUGGUCGUUGGGGCUAGCGUCCGGAAGCGGGCCCUAAUACCGCAUACUAUCAGAUGACCCUAGGUCGGAUUAGCUAGUUGGUGGGGUAAAGGCCUACCAAGGCGACGAUCCGUAACUGGUCUGAGAGGAUGAUCAGUCACACUGGAACUGAGACACGGUCCAGACUCCUACGGGAGGCAGCAGUGGGGAAUAUUGGACAAUGGGCGAAAGCCUGAUCCAGCCACGCCGCGUGGGUGAAGAAGGUCUUCGGAUUGUAAAGCACUGUUAGUUGGGAGGCGGUACCAACAGAAUAAGCACCGGCUAACUACGUGCCAGCAGCCGCGGUAAUAC